AUGCUAUGGGUGGGCAGGUCCAGAAGGUCACAGGACCUCAUAUUAGGGACACUUAACCUUAAGCUUGGAGUCAGAUGAAGCUUUGUGGAGGACAUGGAAUCUAGACAAAGGAAGAGAGGAGGAGAUAGCCAGGUAGAGGAAGAGUUCCACACGGAGGGCAACAGGGUACACAAAAGUCCUUCAGUCAGAGAAGCACGGCAUUUUUGAGGAACUGAAAGAGGUUCAGCCUGGGCAGAGCGUGGGCAGGAUGCUGAGAGAUGAGACUGGAGAGGGUACAACGAACAGGGCAUUAUAGACAGUGCACGUAAGUUUUGAUUUUACCCUAAAAGGCAAAGGAAAGCCAUGGGAGGGUUUUAAAUGCUGGUGUGUGUGUGUGUGUGUGUGUGUGAGUGUGUGUGUGUGUAACGAUCAAUCUUGAGUAUUAGAAGGGUAUUGGAGAGGAGCAAGACAGGCAGGGAAUCCAGGUAGGAGGUUGCGACGUAUCCCAGAGGCGAGGUGGUGGAGCCUGGACUGGGACAGUGGAGGGGCAGAGAAAUGGAUGGAUUAAAGGAAUAUUUGAGAGGACUUGUAAUAGGUUGGAUAUGGGAGGCAAAAGAGAGGGGAAGGUUGAGGAUAAGUCCCAGGUUUCUUGACUCGAACAAGUCUUGAACAACUGGGAGGAUAUGAGUGACAUCUGCUGAGUUUGGGAACACUUGGGGAAGUGUGGAGGGGAGGGGGGCGGUUUGCAUUUGUGGCUGUUGUGUUUGAGGCUCCUGAGAGACAUCCAAAUGGAUGAGCUUGGGAAUCCUGGUUAUCAGUGGCAUGGCUAGGAGAGACUUGAGAAAAUCAUUCAGAUAAAUUGUGUGUUUAUUUCUGCUGCAGUCUGAGAUCUUUAGGUUGUCAGGAAAGAAACUCACUCAAACUAGCUCAAAUAAAAUGUGGAAUUGGUGGGAUACAGAGCUUCAUGGGGCCUGUUGCUCACAGGAGAGCUGUGAGGACGGGAACAGCUUUUCUGGACUAUACAGGGCAAUGUGACUACUCAUUCCUUCAUUUCUGCUUCACUCCCCUCUGGGUAGAGCAGUCUUCUCUGCUCAUCCCUGAGGCCUCCUUCCUCCAUAUCUUUGCUCUCUACAGAGCUGACUCCUGCUUUUGUCCCCCAACAGACCUAACAUCUGAGUUGAAAAGCUUAUUAUGGACUUCAUCACAAUGUGUAUAUCUCUUUAUUCAAAUUCUUGAGAAGAGUGGAUCUGAUUGGCACUAAGAAGUUAAUGGAGGAAAGAGCAUGGACAGACAAAUGAGCCUGAAUACCCCUUUCCCAGGACGAUCGUGGGGCGUUCACUCUCAGAGCUUCAGUUUCUUACUCUGUAAAAUCAGCGAUACUCUCUACUUCCUCAGGAGAGAGAAUGAAAUGAGAGAGCACGGUGAAAUGCUUGGUAAAUGGCAGGAGGCACUCAGCGACCGUUCCUUCCCUCCCUUUCCUUCUCCUUUAUGCUUGUUCAAGUCACUCCUUUCCCAGAAAACAGGAAUUCUGCUUGUCACUUUUUUAUAGUGAUUCCUCUGCAUGACUAUUAACAAAUGUUUACAGAACGAUCAUAUAUUUUACUCCAUUAAAAUGUAGUUGUAACCAUUCAAUAACAUUUUUGGAAAAUUGAGAUGAGGAAAAAUUGUCUACCCAUAAUUCUGCCAUCUAAAUAAAAACACGUAAGCUACUUGA